rnacentral:pre_miRNA from 1 species
AAUAAGUGUGGUUUUACACUAUUUAUCUUUAACGUUUCAUCGUUUAUUUUAUUUGAAUAAAUUUUAUGAUUACUAUUUUUAUUAUUAUUAGAUGAUAAAAUAUGAAUAGUACUUUAUGUGUGACUAAUUUUUUUUAAAUUUUUAAUAAUUUUUUUAAAUAAGACGGACUGUUAAAUAUUGGACACAGAUUUUCACGUCUGUAUUUAUU